AUUGCCAUAGUUGCCCUGGUAAGAGCAGCAUAGGCCGAAAAUGGCAGCUGCAGAAUGGGGCAGAAGGAUUUGUCUGUGACCUCUGCUGUUGGGUUCUUUCCUAACACUAUUACAUGGCAGACCAUGGGUGUUUAAAUGUUUUUUUCUUAAACCCAGUUAAGUGCUUUAAAACCCCACUUAAAAGUGACAGAAGAUAAUAAAAUUAGAUUGACUCUGGAGGAUUUUUUUUUUUUUUUUGAGAACCACUGUAAAGCAUUUAACUGGGACACUUGCUCCACCCCACGCCAUCAAAGAAGGAUCUUUACUAAGAAUGUAAGAUAACACCACAACCGGAGCUGUUUCUCUCAGCCAACAAAGAGAAGAGCUGUGAUGAAACUGCGAAAGAAGGGAGACUGUCAUCGUGGUUCCCCAACUGGUGUCACGAUAGAGAACUGAUUUUCUGGGCAAGUGGCUGGAGUGUAGCAGGAAGAAGAUGGAGCAGUCAGUCCUGAGUGGGUUUACACUGGCUCGCCCUGUGGCUCCCUGAGUCUGCGCUGAGGCUCAUCACAGACGUUUCUGAGAAGGGGGAUGGAGGGCCUCAUUUCCUCACUGGCCUAUGUGGAUGACAAGUUUUGACAUUAGGGCCUUUCAGUGAGAUGCCUGUUUUCAAGGAGGGCUGGAAGCUUUUGUUCAAGUCUCUUCUGGAGUAAGCCUUGAGUUAUUCUGCUCAGAGCACCUCACCUAAUCAUUACUGGCAACUAUUCAGGUGUGAUUCUAGUGCCUUUAUGCACGCACGCACACACACACACACACACACACACACACACAGAGAGAGAGAGAGAGAGAGAGAGAGAGAGAGAGAGAGAGAGAGAGAGAGAUGAGGCUCAGAGAUCUGCAGUCAGCAGCCCAAGAUGCUAUGUGUUGGUACAAGGGUGGAAACGCAGCCGCUGGCUCCAGAGCCUGUUUGUUUGCCCUGUCACGACAGUUAGUGCUCCACGGAAUGCUUACCCAGGGGGAAAGGAUACCUUUAGCAAGCGCUUUGUGCUCUGUUGGCCUCAUCUGACUCCUCUUAUUUUUUGGUGCUGACACCACUUGCCUCCCACCCUGCAGCUGCCUCUUUCUGGCUCAUGCCUUCUUGGGAAAACUUGGCAGGCCUCUGGAAUUGGAUGUUUCUGCUGGGGCGAAAAUAUCCGCGUUAGGAACUCAGCUCACGCAGAUUAAGCCCUUUGUCCUGAAUGUCCAGAAGGAAGUCCAAGUCUCUGAAGAGGUACUGGAGCUCAGCCAGGGUGACCUUUUGUCAGGGAACACCCCUUUAUGGACACAAGGGACAGACAGACUGUUCGCUGCUCCUUGGCUGAAGCUGCCCAGUUGCUUAAAAAAAGAAAAAAGAAAAAAGAAAAGAAAAGAAAAAAACCUUCCCCACUCUCCACUCCUGAAACUCCUAUAAGGUAUUUGGCUGAGGAGCAAGGUGUUGGUGGGAAAUGGAGUCUCGAUGCAGAGAGAAAGACAAAGUUGAAAACAGACUCAGGACCCUGGAGACAGAGGCAAAAGGAGUCUCCGUUUAAGGCCAGCAGUGAGACACAGGCCAGCCUGGGCUACACCGUGAUAUCCUUUCUCAAAAAAUGUAAUACUAUAAAA